CCUACGGGAGGCUGCAGUGAGGAAUAUUGGUCAAUGGACGAGAGUCUGAACCAGCCAAGUAGCGUGAAGGAUGACUGCCCUAUGGGUUGUAAACUUCUUUUAUAAAGGAAUAAAACGAGGCACGUGUGCCUUUUUGCAUGUACUUUAUGAAUAAGGAUCGGCUAACUCCGUGCCAGCAGCCGCGGUAAUACGGAGGAUCCGAGCGUUAUCCGGAUUUCUUGGGUUUAAAGGUAGCGUAGAUGGGUUGUUAAGUCAGUUGUGAAAGUUUGCGGCUCAACCGUAAAAUUGCAAUUGAUACUGGCAGUCUUGAGUACAGUUGAGGUAGGUGGAAUUCGUGGUGUAGCGGUGAAAUGCUUAGAUAGCACGAAGAACCCCGAUUGCGAAGGCAGCUUACUAAACUGUGACUGACAUUGAUGCUCGAAAGUGUGGGUAUCAAACAGGAUUAGAUACCCGUGUAGUC
rnacentral:rRNA from 1 species